rnacentral:rRNA from 1 species
AGUGAACGCUGGCGGUAGGCCUAACACAUGCAAGUCGAACGGCAGCACAGUAAGAGCUUGCUCUUACGGGUGGCGAGUGGCGGACGGGUGAGGUAUACAUCGGAAUCUACUUUUUCGUGGGGGAUAACGUAGGGAAACUUACGCUAAUACCGCAUACGACCUACGGGUGAAAGCAGGGGAUCUUCGGACCUUGCGCGAUUGAAUGAGCCGAUGUCGGAUUAGCUAGUUGGCGGGGUAAAGGCCCACCAAGGCGACGAUCCGUAGCUGGUCUGAGAGGAUGGUCAGCCACACUGGAAGUGAGACACGGUCCAGACUCCUACGGGAGGCAGCAGUGGGGAAUAUUGGACAAUGGGCGCAAGCCUGAUACAGCCAUACCGCGUGGGGGAAGAAGGCGUUCGGGUUGGAAAGCCCUUUUGUUGGGAAAGAAAAGCAGCAGGUUAAUACCCCGCUGUUCUGACGGUACCCAAAGAAUAAGCACCGGCUAACUUCGUG